rfam:Strigamia maritima strain Brora ctg7180001229538, whole genome shotgun sequence.
UCCCAGACAGCUUAAUGGUAAAGCACCCAACUGGCAAUUGGGGAAUCUGGGUUCAAGUCCCGGUCUGGGCU